rnacentral:rRNA from 1 species
CAGCCGCCACGGUAAUACGAAGGGGGCUAGCGUUGUUCGGAAUCACUGGGCGUAAAGGGUGCGUAGGCGGGAUCUUAAGUCAGGGGUGAAAUCCCGAGGCUCAACCUCGGAACUGCCUUUGAUACUGGGGUCCUUGAGUCCGGAAGAGGUGAGUGGAACUGCGAGUGUAGAGGUGAAAUUCGUAGAUAUUCGCAAGAACACCGGUGGCGAAGGCGGCUCACUGGUCCGGAACUGACGCUGAGGCACGACAGCGUGGGGAGCAAACAGGAUUAGAUACCCCCGUAGUCCCUGUCUCUUAUAC